rnacentral:rRNA from 1 species
CAGCACCUCAAGUGGUCAGGAUGAUUAUUGGGCCUAAAGCAUCCGUAGCCGGCUCUGUAAGUUUUCGGUUAAAUCUGUAUGCUCAACAUACAGGCUGCCGGGAAUACUGCAGAGCUAGGGAGUGGGAGAGGUAGACGGUACUCGGUAGGAAGGGGUAAAAUCCUUUGAUCUAUUGAUGACCACCUGUGGCGAAGGCGGUCUACCAGAACACGUCCGACGGUGAGGGAUGAAAGCUGGGGGAGUAAACCGGAUUAGAUACCCGUGUAGUCC